rnacentral:snoRNA from 1 species
ACGACGAAUACUUAGUCAAGAUCAUUGCUAUAGUAUUUGUGAUGUUUUAUUGUUAUACUUUAACAGAUUGUCGAGAAGUGAUGAUGAUUGGGCACUGCUCGGAUUAUGAAAUUAAUUUUCGAUAUUUUUUACAAUUUCCUUUUUGAGAUUGUUUAAAGUGUCCGAAAAGCGAUGAAUUAUUUCUUUUUCCUCAAUUAAAAGGAUUCUCUAAUCUUUUUUUUUUGUUGAAGAGAAAACGAGCAUGUGUCGACUGAACUUUU